AAGAGAGUUAAAAAGUACGUGAAACCGUUAAAAGGGAAACGAUGGGGGUUAGCAAUGCGUCGUGCGAGAUUCAGCCGGUGGGUGGGCCAGGCGGGCGGUUGGCGGAUCUGAAUGGACCGCUGCCGUUCGGGUUGGUUUCCCGACCGUCGCACUUCUCGCAGGCGCGCGCCAACGUCGGUUAGGGCUGGGUCUCAAAGGCGGUGGAAAGGUAGGUUUGGACUCUCGGGCCCGAACUGUUACAGUCCUCCGUUCGUCAUGGCCCGGACCUGACCGAGGAGCUUGCGGUGCAUGCCCUUUCGGCUAGGGUCCCGUCUUCCCGGUCGGUCGUCGAAUGCGGUGGACUGCGUGCAGUGCGCCGCGACUGCUGCCGGUCGCGAGGGCGGUGAUUUCGUACUAUGCACCCACGACGUUGGCGGUCAUAUGGCCUCAUCCGACCCGUCUUGAAACACGGACCAAGGAGUCUAACAUGUGUGCGAGUCUUUGAGUGAUCGAAACUCCGAGGCGUAAUGAAAGUGAAGGCGACUUCGGUCGCUGAGGUGAGAGCCUUUUUCCACAAAAAAAAGGCGCAUCAUCGACCGACCUAUUCUACUCUUAGAAAGGUUUGAGUAAGAGCGCAUCUGUUGGGACCCGAAAGAUGGUGAACUAUGCCUGAAUAGGGUGAAGCCAGAGGAAACUCUGGUGGAGGCUCGUAGCGAUUCUGACGUGCAAAUCGAUCGUCAAAUUUGGGUAUAGGGGCGAAAGACUAAUCGAACUGUCUAGUAGCUGGUUCCCUCCGAAGUUUCCCUCAGGAUAGCUGGAACUUACGGCAGUUUUAUCAGGUAAAGCGAAUGAUUAGAGGUCUUAGGGUUAAAACAACCUUAACCUAUUCUCAAACUUUAAAUUGGUAAGAAGUCCGACUGCUAAU
rnacentral:ncRNA from 1 species